rnacentral:rRNA from 1 species
UCGAGAAUCUUCCGCAAUGGACGAAAGUCUGACGGAGCGACGCCGCGUGAACGAUGAAGUACUUCGGUAUGUAAAGUUCUUUUAUGAGGGAGGAAGUUUAUUGACGUUACCUCAUGAAUAAGGGGUUGCUAAACUCGUGCCAGCAGCAGCGGUAAUACGAGUGCCCCGAGCGUUAUCCGGAAUUAUUGGGCGUAAAGGUUGUGUAGGCGGUUUUGUUAGUCUCUCGUCAAAUCCUUCGGCUUAACCGAAGAUCCGCGAGGGAAACGGCAAGACUAGAGGUUAUGAGAGGUUUGCAGAAUUCAUGGUGUAGCGGUGAAAUGCGUUGAUAUCAUGGAGAAUACCAAAUGCGAAGGCAGCAAACUGGCAUAAAUCUGACGCUGAAACAAGAAAGCGUGGGUAGCGAAAGGG